GACGAACGCUGGCGGCGUGCCUAAUACAUGCAAGUCGAACGCAGGGGGGACAGGUGAGUAACACGUGGGUAACCUCCCCUCAGAGGGGAUAACACUUGGAAACAGGUGCUAAACCGAUACUGAUGGAUGGCCCCGCGGUGCAUUAGCUAGUGGGUGGGGUAACGGCUCACCAAGGCCACGAUGCAUAGCCGGCGUGGGAGGGUGACCGGCAAACAUGGGACUGAGACACGGCCCAGACUCCUACGGGAGGCAGCAGUAGGGAAGCUUCGGCAAUGGACGAAAGUCUGACCGAGCAACGCCGCGUGAAUGAAGAAGGUUUUCGGAUCGUAAAACUCUGUUGUUAGAGAAGCGGUAUCUAACCAGAAAGCCACGGCUAACUACGUGCCAGCAGCCGCGGUAAUUC
rnacentral:rRNA from 1 species